GGCCGCCUGGCAUAAUGGCAACGCGUCUGACUACGAAUCAGGAGAUUGCAGGUUCGACCCCUGCGGUGGUCA
rnacentral:tRNA from 1 species